rnacentral:rRNA from 1 species
AAACCAGCACCUCAAGUGGUCAGGAGGAUUAUUGGGCCUAAAGCAUCCGUAGCUUGCUGCAUAAGUUUUCGGUUAAAUCCAUACGCUCAACGUAUGGGCUGCCGGGAAUACUGUGCAGCUAGGAAGUGGGAGAGGUAGACGGUACUCGGUAGGAAGGGGUAAAAUCCUUUGAUCUAUUGAUGACCACCUGUGGCGAAGGCGGUCUACCAGAACACGUUCGACGGUGAGGGAUGAAAGCUGGGGGAGCAAACCGGAUUAGAAACCCCAGUAGUCC